GUGAAAGCCCGGAGCUCAACUUCGGAACUGCAUCCGAUACUGCCAUGCUAGAGCACUGAAGAGGUGACCGGAAUUCUCGGUGUAGCAGUGAAAUGCGUAGAUAUCGAGAGGAACACCAAAGGCGAAGGCAGGUCACUGGGCAGUUGCUGACACUGAGGCACGAAGGCCAGGGUAGCGAACGGGAUUAGAUACCCCGGUAGUCCUGGCAGUAAACGGUGCACGCUUGGUGUGGGGACAUUCGACCGUCUCCGCGCCGGAGCUAACGCGUUAAGCGUGCCGCCUGGGAAGUACGAUCGCAAGAUUAAAACUCNAAGAAAUUGACGGGGACCCGCACAAG
rnacentral:rRNA from 1 species